CUAUGACUCAAAUUUGCAUCAGAAAUUUUUUAAGGGGAAAAACUUUAAAACUGUAGUUUCUUAAAAACUGCUUGUGGACACGAUGGACGUGGAGCUUCACUGUGAGUUCUUCUUUCCUUCUCAGGACUAUCGUGCUGAGUGUAAUCUCCCUGCUUAAUGAGCCCAACACCUUUUCUCCAGCCAAUGUGGAUGCUUCAGUCAUGUUCAGGAAAUGGAGGGACAGCAAAGGAAAGGACAAGGAGUACGCUGAGAUCAUUAGGAAACAGGUCUCAUCCAUGAAACCUGAAGCAGAAAAGGAUGGAGUGAACGUCCCCACAACCCUGGCAGAAUACUGCAUCAAAACUAAAGUGCCUUCCAAUGACAACAGCUCAGAUUUGCUUUAUGACGACCUGUAUGAUGACGACAUUGAUAACGAAGACAAGGAGGAAGAAGAUGCCGACUGUUAUAAUGAUGAUGAUUCUGGAAAU
rnacentral:lncRNA from 1 species